UGCGUAGGCGGGCAGGUAAGUCAGUGGUGAAAUCUCCGAGCUUAACUCGGAAACUGCCGUUGAUACUAUUUGUCUUGAAUAUUGUGGAGGUAAGCGGAAUAUGUCAUGUAGCGGUGAAAUGCUUAGAUAUGACAUAGAACACCAAUUGCGAAGGCAGCUUACUACACAAUCAUUGACGCUGAGGCACGAAAGCGUGGGGAUCAAACAGGAUUAGAUACCCUGGUAGUCCACGCCCUAAACGAUGAUUACUCGACGUGUGCGAUACACUGUACGCGUCUGAGCGAAAGCAUUAAGUAAUCCACCUGGGAAGUACGUUCGCAAGAAUGAA
rnacentral:rRNA from 1 species